rnacentral:rRNA from 1 species
GACGAACGCUGGCGGCGUGCUUAGCACAUGUAAGUCGAACGGAAAGGCCCUGCUUUUGUGGGGUGCUCGAGUGGCGAACGGGUGAGUAACACGUGAGUAACCUGCCCUUGACUUUGGGAUAACUUCAGGAAACUGGGGCUAAUACCGGAUAGGAGCUCCUGCUGCAUGGUGGGGGUUGGAAAGUUUCGGCGGUUGGGGAUGGACUCGCGGCUUAUCAGCUUGUUGGUGGGGUAGUGGCUUACCAAGGCUUUGACGGGUAGCCGGCCUGAGAGGGUGACCGGCCACAUUGGGACUGAGAUACGGCCCAGACUCCUACGGGAGGCAGCAGUGGGGAAUAUUGCACAAUGGGCGGAAGCCUGAUGCAGCAACGCCGCGUGCGGGAUGACGGCCUUCGGGUUGUAAACCGCUUUCGCCUGUGACGAAGCGUGAGUGACGGUAAUGGGUAAAGAAGCACCGGCUAACUACGUG